GACGAACGCUGGCGGCGUGCCUAAUACAUGCAAGUCGAACGCAGUGGGGACGGGUGAGUAACACGUGGGUAACCUCCCAUCAGAGGGGAUAACACUUGGAAACAGGUGCUAAACCGAUACUGAUGGAUGGACCCGCGGUGCAUUAGCUCGUUGGUGAGGUAACGGCUCACCAAGGCCACGAUGCAUAGCCGACCGGGUGGGGUUACCGGCCACACAGGUCGUGGGACACGGCCCAGACGCCUACGGAAGGGUGCAGUGGGGAAUCUUCCGCAAUGGACGAAAGUCUGACCGAGCAACGCCGCGGGAGUGAAGCAGGUUUUUGGGUCGUAAAACUUUUUUGUUAGGGAAGCGGUAUCUAACCCGGAAGCGACGGCUUACUUCGUGCCAGUAGCCGCGGUAAUUC
rnacentral:rRNA from 1 species